UACGUAGGGCGCGAGCGUUGUCCGAAGUUACUGGGCGUAAAGCGCGUGUAGGCGGGUUGCCAAGUCCGCUGUGAAAGCCCGAGGCUCAACCUCGGAGGGUCGGUGGAUACUGGCAGUCUUGAAGGUGCUAGGGGGAGAUGGAAUUACCGGUGUAGCGGUGAAAUGCGUAGAUAUCGUAAGGAAGACCAGUGGCGAAGGCGAGUCUCUGGACAGUUACUGACACUGAGGCACGAAGGCCAGGGGAGCAAACGGG
rnacentral:rRNA from 1 species